rnacentral:lncRNA from 1 species
AUGAAGAAUGUCGCUGCAGUGAAGACGACUACAUCAGAAUUUCAGAUUUUGCAACAUGAGAGUCUGAAAGACAGGCCAACACAGGCGGCUCUUUGGAAACAAGAGACCUGGUACUUCCAACAGCCAAAAAGCUGGCCAAACACCAGGAUGAGGGGAAAGACAUAUCAGGUGUCUUCAAUUGGAGUCUUCUUGUCUUUGUUUCCUGUCUUGGAGCUCUGAGCCCUGCUGCGGAAAGGGACUUUAUUCACCAGCACAGGCAUUGUGAGAAGGUUUACAUAACUAUAAUGAUGAGUAAAUGUGAUGACACAGAAAAAUUGUGUCAGGGACAUUAAAAUGGAAGGAAACAAGCUAACAUUUCUUAGUACUUAAGGUGAGAUAAUUUUUAAAUCAUUUGUUAAAAUCACUAUAUUCUGUUCAUUUGAAUGUAACCAAAAAGUAGGGGAAAUAUAUAUAU